rnacentral:lncRNA from 1 species
GCUUCUCAUCACCAGCCACCUAUGUUCAUCAAAUUGUCUUCCACCACCGGAGAAGCCAUCGUUGUUGUGAUUCAUGCCAUUGGGAACGUGACCAAGAUGAGAUGAAAAAGUGAAACCGGACCCGUCACGUUCCAUCACGACCAACCACAGAUUUGCACCGCCACGAUCCGCUUGUUGCCGUAGUUGUCAUAAACCACCGUCAGGAUCCAAGCUAGAGAGAUCGUGAUCUCACACCUGCUUGCACCACUGUAGCUACUCACCCCCGAUCACCAACCGUUACCAUUAGAUACAUGGCUAAGGAGUGGUUUUGCGACAGGUUUCUAGUACGAUCCAAGGGAUUCUAGGCUGCGCGCCAUGUCUCUUGGGAUAUAUCUCUUUUCCAGGAAUCUGUAGCAGCAAACGGAAUCGAGAUCGGAGUUGUGCAGCAAAAGUUAUUGCUGUUGCUUCUUGGGCAAGAAUAAGCUUAAACUGUUGCGCUGCAGAUAGAGUUCCGACCAGUCUCAGCGUAAAGGUUAAAUGGUCAAUCUAAUCAAAAUAUUUCAGUCUAGAAUUUUUUCAGUAGGUAUUUAACUCUUUUAUCUAUCAUCUCCAAGAAGCGGAUCAUUAUUCCGAGUUAUAUUCUGAGAGUUAUGCCUGUUUUCGCGAGGGGAUCUGCUGCAGUCUUUGUUUACGACCAGCCUGGAGCUGAAGCCAUUAUGGCUGAUCAAAUGAUGUCCGAUCAGAGUAAACUUGGUGGCUACGGACAGAGGACAUAUAGGACUCAAUUCUGACCGGAGGGAUUGAAAGGUUAUCGGUCAGUUCUUGAGUUAUUCGUCUGCUUUCUAAAGGUUUCAGUUUUGCCAAAAUCAUCAUAUUUAUUUAUUUUUCAGAGAGUUCUGGAGUUGCUCUAUUUUAGAGCCGUCAAGGUCCAUUAUGUUUUUUGUCAGAUUAUCUUCAGAACCCGUGGCAAAGGUGAGGGUCUAUUCCGUAAAUCCCGUACCACUGUAGAAUUCUCUCUAUCGUAGUUUAGAUUUCGAAUCAUGAUUCGUCUGUUUGAAUUGAGUCUUGAUUGUUAGUUAGUUCAUUCACUGUAAACUGGAACUAGGGGUCUAGAAGAUUCAACCGUUGAUUGAUUGCGUGAUGUUAAGAGAUCCGAUAUAUAUAUGUGUGUACACAUAGCUAUGAGUAGGGACUAUGUGCGCGGGCGGGGGCUCAGAGAUGUCUAGGCUAGCGACGCUACUUUGAAACCGGACCCGUCACGUUCCAUCACGACCAACCACAGAUUUGCACCGCCACGAUCCGCUUGUUGCCGUAGCUGUCAUAAACCACCGUCAGGAUCCAAGCUAGAGAGAUCGUGAUCUCACACCUGCUUGCACCACUGUCGCUACUCACCCCCGAUCACCAACCGUUACCAUCAGAUACAUGGCUAAGGAGUGGUUUUGCGAUAG